rnacentral:rRNA from 1 species
UACAGAGGGGGGCAAGCGUUGUUCGGAAUUACUGGGCGUAAAGAGCGUGUAGGCGGCCAGGUAGGUCUGCUGUGAAAACUCGAGGCUCAACCUCGAGACGUCGGCGGAAACCAUCUGGCUAGAGUCCGGAAGAGGAGAGUGGAAUUCCUGGUGUAGCGGUGAAAUGCGCAGAUAUCAGGAAGAACACCCGUGGCGAAGGCGGCUCUCUGGGACGGUACUGACGCUGAGACGCGAAAGCGUGGGGAGCGAACA